UCUCUUAUCUUCAAUCUGUCUCAUAAAACUGAUUUUCUUUUUGCGAUUCUUCUCCUCUCCAAAUUCAUUCACCAGACGAAGAAACACAAUCAUAUGUAUUCUGAAGAAAAUAAUUGAAAAUUUGUUUGUUACAAUAAGAAUUUCAACCCUAGAUUUGGUUUGUUUAUUAGCUAUCUCUAACUUAUUAUGGAGUUUUUCAAUUAGACGGUUAGGAAAUUUCGGGUUUUGUCUCUCCAAUUUUUCCAUCUCCGUAAGCCAAAUAGUGAAGCUGCAGACAGAGGUUUUCAGUUCCACAUAUUCAACUCUUCUUUGGUUCUUCACAUAUUCUCAAUUUCUCAUAGUCCACCACCAGAGUCUACAACUACUUGUCCUUCUCCAGCAGCAAUAGUGAUUCAACGAACGACAACAUCACCUUCAGAUACUUGAGCAAGUUCUUGCAACAUCUUCAUCUUCUUUUUUAUUGAUUUCAGUUGAACAUGACGGGAUUUGCUAGAUAAUAAGAGAUUUUGGUAACAUUAAUUGAUUUUUUUUAUAAUUUUAGAAAUUGAAACCUAGGAUUUCAUAUAUUUGUGGGUAAAUUUGUAUUUGAGGGAUUGUUGUGUUAUCUUGCUAAGAAAUUCUAAUUAACCGAGUUCUUAUUGAUUUACUCUUUUAUAUGGGUUAAAUUUUGUUGUUUCUGCAAUUUUCUUAAUGAGUUUUUGCAAAUUUUGUUUUUAUAGAUUGAUUAAUAACCUGGGGACGAUUGCAUUCAAUAUGUAGAACUGAUAAUGUUCUCUUUCUCAUGAUAUAUACGUUGACAGGUCUGCUAACGUUACCUCUGAACUUGCGAAGUAUUUCCGAAGCUUGCGAAAUAUAGUGCAUGCUACUAGGGACGUCGCAAAUACACUUUGGGUGUGAUGAGAGAUGUUAGUGGUAAUUCAGAUUUACAAUUUGAAUGAAACUUCAUUGUCACUUUAUACGUUAACCCCCAAUCACUGCCAGAGAAGAAACCCAACUUAGUACAAUAAUAAACAUCAGUUGAUGCACCACCUAAUCAUUCAGGUGAACAUUUAGAGCUGUGUAAUGUUUGACAAAAUUCCUUAAAUAAUUUGUUCUUCAGUUACUUUCUGCUUAACAGGUUAUAGCUACUUUCCCACAAAGUAAUUGUUUUAUUAUGAAGGUACUCAUUCAAUUUUGAAGACUAAGAAGAAGAGAUAUAAAUACAACUUUGAAGUGAUUAUAAUUACAUUAUACUAUGAACAAUGAUGGUUCCUUUGGGCAUGGUUUAGUUGCUUGGCUUCAAACUGCGUCGACUCCUGAUAUGACUUAGCACUACUCUAAGCGUAGGUGUUGGUCUAAAUCACGGCCAAGGUUGUGUUCUUUGGAAGCGGUUUAAUUGAAUUUUGGGAAUUGUAACUUGCUGUAUGAAGCGGUUCUAUAAGUUACUAGCCAGUAGCAUUAGUUGAGACUCACAGAAAAAGAAAAUCUUGAAGAGAUUGAAAAGAUAUAUAGAAGCGCAGGAGUAACUCCUUUGUCAUUCAUUCUAUAGAGUGGGAUAAUGGUAGUACCAGUUUGUGCAUUCAGUUAGUAGUGUAUUAGUUGACUGGAUGUAAUAGGAUAUGUUGAUUAACUUUUAUACAUUACAUGUGGGCGAUUUUCAUUCCCCGCUCCAAUUCGAGAUAAUUUUUUGCGCAUCUGGCGGCAUGUCGUAGAGUCCUCGAAUUGACUCACACUCUGGCGUUGGAUUUCACCCUGAUCAUUGACAGGUCUUACCAAUUGCAUAUUUUCACACAAGAAGAAUCAGAUUAAAGUCUAUUAUACUAAAAACCCCUCCUCUUCUAUGGAAAUCUUUCCAAGGUAUACCCUGAUCCAUGCAUGAUUAACAAUAUGCAAUGGGUAAAUUCUAU